AAGUCUUACAACUGUAAGAAAAGUAUUGCUUUACAGUUUGCGGUGUUAAUUAUUUGGUGCUUUUUUUAAUAUAUAGUAACAGAGGAACUUUUAGCAAGAAGAAAUUGUAAAUCUCUUCAGUAGAAUUUCUUGAUGAUAUAAUAAUUUUAAUUAAGGAAAAGACCAUUAUAAAUUAAUUGCUUAGGAAGUAAUAAAGGUAGGUAUACUUUAUCAUAUUUACUAAUAUAAGAAGCCGCUCUUAAGUUUUUUUUCUUUGGUGGAAUUCAUAAUUUUUAGAACCAAGAUCAAAAGUAUCUGUGACCUAAAAUAAAAUAGCCUUUAAUUUGUCCAAACCUAGUCACUUUAGUUAAUAAUGUUAACGGUAAUAGCAUUAAUUUUUAAGAACAUAUCAUUGUGUUCCACGCACAGUGCUAAGUAUUUCAUGUGUAUUCUGAGAAAAAACUCUGAUCCUGGGCUCCUAACCUCUCUGUAUUUUUAGAGAAUCACUUUUCCUCCACUAUUUUCUGUGAGCUAAGGUAAUUAUUUUCCCUUUGAAUAUUAUAAUAUUUUGGCCUGAUUAGGGAUUUCAGAUUUAUUCCUUCAAAAUUUACAGGGUCUUUUUUUGUUUGUUUUGUUUUUUAUACUUUGCCUUCAAAAUGCUUUUAUUUCAGGGUAAAGUAAUAUGUCAAAUAGAGUAUAUUUCUUCAUAAACCAUUCAUGGGUAUCAUGAAAAAGAUAAAUUCUGAGUUUUUUAGUAAGGCCAACUAUAGAAUGUGAUGGCGUUACAGGAAUAGGUACAGAAUACAGGGAUAGCCCAGAGGAAGAAGUGAUUUACUCUACCUGGAAAAGAUCAUUGUGGAAUGGAAGUCAAAAAGAAACCAGAACUUCAAGGUUAAAGAUUUAUCUGUAUUUUCUUCUGUAAUGAAUAAAGAUCUUCUGAAAUUUGUGAGGUUGAAAUUCUAUAUUAACUGCUGCAUUCAUAAUUUUCAAUCAGUUACAUUAUACAUUAUAUUGUGUCACCCAGACCUUUCUGAAUGGUUUUAUACGUAUUUCCUUAGAUACCACUUACUAUGUAUAUGUCAAGAUAGAUAGAGGACUUCUUAACAUAGUAGAAAUAAUGUAUUUGGAUAAAAUCACUGUGGCAUCUGACACAAAUAGCAAAUAACCAGUUGCCACUUUCCCCUUAAGAGAUAUAUGUUUUUUUGGAAAAAGUAUAUGAUUUAUUUUUAAUUCAAGCUAUAAUGAUAUCUAAAGUUCAAAUAGUAAGCAUAUCAGUAUAAAAUGAUGUUUUGAAUAUUUGAGAAGAGGCAGCCAUCUUUUCAAUAGCAUUCUUAGAAA